AACGAACGCUGGCGGCAGGCCUAACACAUGCAAGUCGAGCGAGGACUUCGGUCCUAGCGGCGGACGGGUGAGUAACGCGUGGGAACGUGCCCUUUGCUUCGGAAUAGCCCUGGGAAACUGGGAGUAAUACCGGAUGAGCCCUUUGGGGGAAAGAUUUAUCGGCGAAGGAUCGGCCCGCGUUGGAUUAGGUAGUUGGUGGGGUAAUGGCCUACCAAGCCGACGAUCCAUAGAUGGUUGGAGAGGAUGAUCAGCCACACUGGGACUGAGACACGGCCCAGACUCCUACGGGAAGCAGCAGUGGGGAAUCUUAGACAAUGGGGGAAACCCUGAUCUAGCCAUGCCGCGUGAGCGAUGAAGGCCUUAGGGUUGUAAAGCUCUUUCAGCUGGGAAGAUAAUGACGGUACCAGCAGAAGAAGCCCCGGCUAACUCCGUG
rnacentral:rRNA from 1 species